GAUGAACGCUGGCGGCGUGCUUAAUACAUGCAAGUCGAGCGAACGGACGAGAAGCUUGCUUUUCUGAUGUUAGCGGAGGACGGGUGAGUAACACGUGGAUAACCUACUUAUAAGACGGGGAUAACUUCGGGAAAGCGGAGCUAAUAGCGGAUAAGAUUUUGAACCGCAUGGGUCAUAAGUGAAAGACGGUCUUGCUGUCACUUAUAGAUGGAUACGCGCUGCAUUAGCUGGUUGGGAAGGUAAUGGCCUACCAAGGCAACGAGGCGUAACCGACCUGAGAGACUGAUCGCCCACCCGGGAACUGAGACAGCGACCAGGCUCCUACGAGAGGCAGCAGACGGGAAUCGUCCGCAAUGGGCGAAAGUCUGACGGAGCAACGCCGCGUGUGUGAUGACGGCGUUCGGUUCGUAAAACUCUGUUAUUAGGGAUGAACAUAUGUGUACGUAGCUGUGCACAUCUUGACGGUACCUAGUCAGAAAGCAACGGCUAACUACGUG
rnacentral:rRNA from 1 species